AGCAACAACAACAAUGGUCAAAUAGUCUUCUGUUUUACGCAUAAUUAAUUAAUAUAUAACCGUUUCUUGAAAACAAAACAAAAAAGCUAAUUAAUGUGUAAUUUUUGCAGCUAAUGUUGGGGAUGCACUUCUAGAUCUCGAUGAGGUUUUCGCUUAUUUCCAAGGACUCGAGUCUCUGGAUUAUGAAGAUGUUGGUGAAGUCAUUUUUGUCUCUAGGCUUUAACUGAAUAGAGAGUAUUCAUUUAUUAUCCUAUUAUUGCUGAUUGGUUCAGCUUUCCUUCCAGCUGAAUUUGGCGUCGAAUUAGGUGGUGGCGGAGUCAACAUUCCCCUACUCCAUGUUGACAUUACAGGACCAAAUCAGGUGUCUAAUCGAAUGCAGUUCAGAUGGCCAACCUAACAUAUCUGAUUUUUCCGUCUUUCUCAGAAACUCGGGAUAAAGAUAUUACAUUGAUAGUUAUGAGGUUUCAACCAAUAAGACUCUUGAAUAACCAACGAGUGCAUAUACACUGUAUAUAAAAAAAAAGAAAAAACAAUUAACCCCUCAGUAAACCAAAAUACUUAAGGAAGAAGAACUAUAUGUACUGUGGACAGAGAGUAGGGGAAUGUUGACUCCGCCAUUACCUAAUUCGCCGCCAAAUUCAGCUGCAAGGAAAGCUGAGCCAAUCAGCAAUAAUAAGAUGAUAAAUGAAUACUCUCUAUUCAGUUAAAGCCUAGCCGGAGACAAAAAUGACUUCGCCAGCAUCCUCGAUUCCUCAUAAUCCAGAGGCUCGAGUCCUUGGAAAUAAGCUGCCAUUAAAGCAUAAUUUGAAUUAUUACUGUUUAUUAAAUAUUUUACUAAAUUUAAUUAUUACUGUUUUUCUGUCUCAACAUUUCAUUAUCAUUAGUUUAUUGUAUUUCUUGGUUACUCUCUUU